CACAAAAGACCUAAAUGACACAGACAUUAACAACUAUAGGUCACCGUACGGCCUUCAACAAUGAGCAAAGCCCAUACCGCAUAGUGAGCUAUAAAAGGCCCCGAUAAGAUAAUGUAAAACCAUUCAAACGAGAAAACUAACGGCCUUAUUUAUGUAAAAAAAUGAACGAAAAACAAAUAUGUAACACAUAAACAAACGACAACCACUGAAUUACAGGCUCCUGACUUUGGACAGGC
rnacentral:lncRNA from 1 species